rnacentral:rRNA from 1 species
AUUGAACGCUGGCGGCAUGCCUUACACAUGCAAGUCGAACGGCAGCACGGGGCAACCUGGUGGCGAGUGGCGAACGGGUGAGUAAUGCAUCGGAACGUGCCAUUGAGUGGGGGAUAACGUAGCGAAAGUUGCGCUAAUACCGCAUAUUCUGUGAGCAGGAAAGCAGGGGACCGCAAGGCCUUGCGCUCUUUGAGCGGCCGAUGUCAGAUUAGCUAGUUGGUGAGGUAACGGCUUACCAAGGCGACGAUCUGUAGCGGGUCUGAGAGGAUGAUCCGCCACACUGGAACUGAGACACGGUCCAGACUCCUACGGGAGGCAGCAGUGGGGAAUUUUGGACAAUGGGCGCAAGCCUGAUCCAGCCAUGCCGCGUGAGUGAAGAAGGCCUUCGG